AACAUCGCCUCUUGAUAACAUAAGAGGUCCAGCCUGCCCAGUGACUCAAUUUAACGGCCGCGGUAUCCUAACCGUGCAAAGGUAGCGUAAUCACUUGUCUUCUAAAUAAAGACUAGUAUGAAAGGCACCACGAGAACUAAACUGUCUCCUUUUUCUAAUCAGUGAACCUAAUCUCCCUGUGAAAAAGCAGGGAUUUAAUAAUAAGACGAGAAGACCCUAUGGAGCUUUAAACACAUAACACUGCCCUUUUACACCACAAUGUUCCCAUGCACAAUGAUUAAGAGUUUUUAGUUGGGGUGACUACGGAGUAAACCCACCCUCCGCGAUGAAUCUUAAACAAGCGACAGCUUUAUACAUCAGCAAACUGACACCAUUGACCCAAUUUAUUGAUCAACGAACCAAGUUACCCUAGGGAUAACAGCGCAAUCCCCUUAGAGAGCCCCUAUCGACAAGGGGGCUUACGACCUCGAUGUUGGAUCAAGAUGUCCUAGUGGUGCAGCAGCUACUAAGGGUUCGUUUGUUCAACGAUUAAAACCUUACGUGAUC
rnacentral:rRNA from 1 species